GAAAACCCUAGGGCACCCCACCCCUCUAUUUAUAGAGGUUCCUAACGGGCCUCUGGGUUUGAGGCCCAUUAGUACUUCUAAACCUAGUCCAACUUGGAUCAUAUCUGAAUUGGGCUUCUAGCCCCUUAAGUGUGUGACCCUAUGGGUUCAGAUACGUAUAGACAUGGCCCGAGUACUCCUACUCGGCCAAAUAGUCGGUAGCAGCCUCUAGCAAGAUGUGCCAACUCCCAUACACACACGAAGAUCAUAU
rnacentral:lncRNA from 1 species